CCUUAAGUUAUGACUUACAGCAUAGUGUAGACUUUAGUGCAAUGUCUGUCUCACCAUGGCUUAACCAACUAGAACUGUUUCAAGCAGCUUUUUGAAUAAGAAAAAGCCUUAAUCUUGUGCUUUUAAAAAUAAAUUACACUGUAGGCAGGAGUGUACUGUCUGUCUAACCAUAACUUAUUCUAACAUACAUUUUAGCCUUUGAAAACUGCGCACCAUGGAUUUGUAUGGGCUUGAUGAACUUAUUUAGCAAAAUAAAAUCUUAGAAUCAUUUUCCCUUAUGCAUUUAAACAUUGAAAACAUACCUGUUUGUCUGCUUGGGCUGUUAUAACAAAACAACGUAGAUAGUUUGGCUUAAGCAGAAAUUUAUUUCCUCACAAUUCUGGAGGCUGAAAGUCAAGAGACCAGAGUGCCGAUUUGGUCAGAUUCUGGUCAAGACCCUCUUCCAGCUUGCAGACUGACAACUUCUUGCUCUCUCCUCACAUGGUGGAAGGGGCGCGGGAGCUCUGUGGGGUCUCUUUUAUAAGAGCACUAAUUCCAUUAUGAGGAUUCUACCUUCAUGGCCUAAGUACCUCUCAAAGGCCCCACCUCCCGCAUUGGGCAUUAAGAUUUCAACAUACAAAUUUUGGGAAGACACAACAUUCAGACCAUAGCAAGUCCAUAGUACCACCUCUAGACAAUACACGAUGCUUUUACCAGGAAAAGUGUUUUGAGUGUGUGUACACAUGUAUAGGAAGAAAAUUAGAAUUACGUAUGAGAAGCUGUUUAAUGGAGAUACUUGCUUGGGAUAUUAGUUUCCUUCUUUCCCGUUGAAGCCAUAAAAGUUGGAGAAGGUGUAGUCAUACUUGGGCUAGUAAUCAUAGAAUAAUUACAAAUCUUAUCAAGUGCUUAUAAUGUCAAGGUGCUUUACAUAGAGAUCCCAUUCAGUUCUCACAAUUUUCUUAUAAGGUACAGUAUUUACUUUCAUUUAAUAGAUGAGGGAAGUGGAAUUGAAGAGGUAGAAUAAUUUCACUGGGGUUGCAAAGCUCUAGUCAACAACAGAAUCUAGAUUUGAACUCAGGCCGCCUGACUCCAGAAUCUAUAUGCUUGCCCAAAACCAUCCACUUAGUUUUAUACAUAUGAGACCUUUGUUUUUCUCUGUGUAUGUUAAAGUUUAAAGUAUUAGGUUAAAAGUUUUGGUUAUUUUAUUCCAUUUAAAAUAAAACAUUGGUUAAGAGGAGCUCUAAUUUUAAAUAAGUUACAUAUAAAUAUAAUUCAAUUUUGAAUUUUUACCAUGGGCCAUAUAUCUGUUAGUGGUAGAAAGAAAUAAGAAGGCUAAGAUAAUCAACAAAUAAGUCAGUCUGAAACUGCUUUAGUUGAACACUUAAUAUGUUUGCUACUGCUUUUGUUUUCAUUUCUGAGUAAUUUUGAUUUAAGUAUAAUGAAACUUGUGAUUGAAGCUUCUAACAUUUAUACAUCGCUUAGUAAUUUUUACAUAAUGUGAAUAGUGUAAACUGGGAAGAAUCUCUUCUCUCUUGCAAGAAAUCAUUGCCAGUUAAAUAGCUGUGAUUUGGCCUAUUUUCAGGCCACAUUCUCAAACCAAAAGUUUUCACCAUCAGUUUUGGUUUGUGGAAUAAAGAUAAACUUAAGUAACUUGUCAAGUUUGUUGUAUGAAUUACACAUGUUUAGUUUUUAUUAAAUAAUAAACCAUAAAUUAUGAUUGACAUUUUUCAGAUUUUUGUUUUUUUAAAUUUAUUUUUCAGUUACAGUUGACAUAUUAAUUUCAGUGAUUAGAUAUUUAUAUACUUUAUGAAGUGAUCACCCCAAUUAAUCUAAUACCUAUCUGACAUCAUACAUCAGAUUUGUAUUCUUUAAUUAGCAUCAGUAGGGGAAUAAUUUUCUUAUAAAUUCUUAUCAAAAUCUUUGUUUACAUAUCAUUGUGUUAAAUCAGGAAGAAAAUUGGUUUUCCAUGGUGUACGUUUGUAUUUUUAAGCCUUUGAGAACAUUAUUUUGUGACCUAUUUUGUAUACUUGUACUUUUUAAAAAUUUUCAUAGCCUAGAGCAUGUGGUUUGCUGCUUUUUAGCUUUCAAAGCUUUAGCUCUGUUUAACAGUGUUGUAAGACAAAAAAUUUUUGUAAGUUUCUAAUCAUUAUUCACUGACUCGCAGCAACUUGUAUUUGGAAUACUGUAUAAAAAGAAAACAAAAGAAUAUUUACAAAAAACAUAAGACCUAGUAUCUAUACCUGAAAUGAUCAAUUCUCUAUCUAGAGGAAUUCAUUAUACUAUAUAUCAGAUUCAUUAUACUGUACAGUUUAUUAUUUUUAUUAAUCUAACAGCAAAUUGUAGCAAUGACUAAAGCAUGGAUGUUUCUUGGUGACGGUAUCUGCUGACAAAUGGGGAUCAAAAUAAGAAGGAAUGGGCUAGAGGAUAGAAAUUAGCAUCAUUUGUUAGGAGAUAUUGUCAGUAAACCAAAUAACUCAUGAUAUAUGUACAGCUAGACAAACUCUUAAAAAGUCAUUAGAAGGUAUAAGCACCCACAAGACAAGUUUAUAUAUGUGCUGUUAUAAAUUGUGAAUUAAAUGUUUAAAAAUUUUUUGACAAGUAUCAAGAAUGUGCUUUUUUGAGCAUUGAGUCUAUUACAUACUCUGUCUAGUUAUGCUAUGCAGUAGUCCCACCUUAUCCACAGGGGUCACAUUUCAGGACCCCUUGGGGGAUGGAUGCCUGAAACCAUGAAUACUGAACCCUGUCUGUACUAUGUUUCCUCCUAUACUUACAUACCUAUGAUAAAGUUUAAUUUAUAAAUUAGGCACAAUAAGAGAUUAACAACAAUAACUGCUAAUGAAAUAGAAUAAUUAUAAUAAUAUACUAAAAUAAAAGUUAUGUGGAUAUCUUUUUGUACUGUACUCAUGCUUCUUCUUGUGAUGAUAUAAGAUGAUACAAUGUCUACAUGAUGAGAUGAAGCGAGUUGAAUGAUGUAGGUAUUAUGACGUAGCAUUAGGCUACUAUUGACCUGAUGAUUCUUAACAAGCACUUUAUGGCUUCUCUAUGGCAUAUCCGAAUUGCCAGCAUCACUACUCUUGUGCGUUGGGGCCGUUAUUAAGUAAAGUAAGCAUUAUUUGAACAUAAACACUGUGAUAUCUCGACAAUUGCUCUCAUAACUUGAGAAGGCUACUAAAUGACUAAUGGGUGGGUGAGUGGUGUCCAUAGAGUGGAUACACCGAACAAAGGGAUGAGUCACAUCCUGGAUGACAUGAGAUUUUAUCACACUACUCAGAAUGGCUUGAAAUUUAAAGCUUAUGAAUUGUUUAUGGAAUUUUUCAUUUAAUAUGUUGAGAACGUGGUUGACCACACUUGAUCAAAACUGCAAAAAGUGAAAUUGUUGCUAAGGAGGACUACUAUAUUUUAUUGAAUCGACUCUUAUCUAGAACAUAUCUGAUGUAUUCACUGAUUCCCUUUUUAAAACAUGUUUAAAUAACUUUGAGGAGCUACAGUCGUCCCUUAGUAUAUGCAGGGGAUUGGUUCCAGGACACCACUUGGAUACCAAAAUUUGGGGGUGCUCAAGACACUUAUAUAAACUUCUACACAUUCUCCUGUAUACUUUAAAUCAUGUUUAGAUUAUUUAAACCUAGGACAAUGUAAAUGCCAUAUAAGUAGUUGUUAUCUGUAUUGUUUAGGGAAUAAUGGAAAGAAAAAAGUCUACAUGUUCAGUAUAGAUGCAAUCAUCGUAUGCCUAACUACUACAUCGUAUGCCUAAGUACAUCUUAGCAACAAUGUAACAUUUUUUCUGAUUCUUUUCCAUUUGCUGUUGGUUGAAUUUGUGAAAUGAAACCCUCGGAUAUGGAGAGCUGAAUGUACUUGGAGAGCUUUAUUGAGAUGCAAUUCAAACACAAUAAAAUUCAUCCUUUGAAAGUCUACAGUUCAGUGAUUUUUAGUACACUGACAGUGUUGUACAACCAUUAUCACUGUCUAGUUCCAGAACUAACCCCACCCACCAAAAAAGGGAAACGUCAUACCCAUUCAGAAAACCUCCCAAUUUUCUCUUCCCCCAGUCCUUAGAAUCUAGUACUCUGCUGUCUGUCUUUAUAAAUUUGCAUAUGCUGGAUAAUUCAUAUAAAUGGAUUCAGAUAAUAUUGUGGCUUUUUGAUAUGGCUUCUAUCAUAUAACACAAUGUUUUUAAGAUUUAUCCAUAUUGUAGCAUGCCUGGAUAUGACACAUUUUGUUUAAUAAUCAGUUGUUUCCACUUUCUGGCCGAUGUGAAUUAUAUUAGAAUAUAUAAUAUAAUAUGCUAUGUACAAUCUGUGUGUAAGUUUUUGUGUGAUUCCUUUUCAUUCUUAGUACUCAGAAAUUUUUCAUAUUGCUUAGUAGUAGAUUUUUCUGAAAAAAAAAAAAAAAAAAACCAAAAAUGGAUGUUUAUGUCAAAUAUUUAUUGAAUAGU